rnacentral:lncRNA from 1 species
AAGGCCAGGUCUUAAAAAAGCAUAUCAAUCAUAUAUUUAAUAAUAAGUACAGGUUUAUUAAUGAAGGUCUUAAUUUUAAAUUCCUUAUAAGAUUAAUAUUUAGAAAUAAUUCAUAUAAGAAUGUAUUUUGACUUUGGAAUUCUACUGCCUGCCCAAGAAAUUGACACAUACUUGUUUUACCUGUGGAAAUAUAAAUGCAUUUUCUAAAAGCCAGCUCACUAACAAAACAAUAAAAUUUAUAUUAAACCAGCAAUGAGUAGAUUUAAUAAUACAAGUGUGAACUGACUUCUAAAUAACAAAUAUAUAAUUUUUCCCCUUUUUGUUUAAACAUAUAUCCUUUAUAUGCUAUGAUGGAUUUCAUGUAAAUACUCAAACACACAUAUGUUAAGAAUGUCCUGAAUAAUAUAUUCUAGGAAUGAAACUUCUGUCUUUCUAUUUAGUCAGUGCACUUACAAAAGAAAAAAAAAAAUUUAAGGCACCUCCCCAAAAGCAAGUACAAGUUUUCUUACAUAUACCGCUAAUAAAUUUUACUCUUAUUUCACAUGCUGUCCUUAAGUCUGAACAUUUUGUCAUUGUGUUUGCCUUUUUGGAUGUGUAUGAAAUAUGUGGGGGGUUUUUUGUUCAUUAUAUUUUUUCCACCUAUAACAGCGUUUGGAAAGAAACAUAUUUGCCUCCAUAAAGUACAAGUUCCUUCCCUAACUCCAGAGUGUUGUAGAUAACGGAGUUGGAGAACUCUGUGAAUAUGGGAACCGUGAGUAGCAAGAACAUCAAUCAGUGAAGGUGCUUUUGUGCUUUAAUGUUUGUUUUCUUUUACUAAUGUUUUUUCCCCCUUAGUUCUUCAUAUCUUCAUGAAGUCAGGGACCAAGAAGUCAGC